ACCCGGAGGGAACCCACGCAGUCACGGGGAGAACAUGCAAACUCCAUACAGAAAGAUCCCGAGCCUGGGAUUGAACUCAGGACCUUCGUAUUGUGAGGUGGCGUCAGCUUGCCUCUUCCCUCCCCUUCUCCCUGUCUGCUCCUCAUCAUCAUCGCCAACAAGAGUCCUAAAUAAAGGUGAGACCUGCUCAGGCAGUGGAGUGUGGAGUUCGGGCGGGGGAUCUUCCACGGAAACCCGCCGAGCCACAAGGGAGGACGGCAGCACGGCGGUGACGACUCGUGUCACCCUUAAAGGAAAAGGGGCCUGAGGAAAAUAAAUGAUCACUUCAUUAGCUGCUGAUGGUAUAGGAGGUUUCUUCCUAUUAGUCAUCCUCUCCUGGUUCCUCCUCAUCCUCUCCAUCUGCUCCUCCUCACUCAUCUUCAUCUUCUGAGGGCGAUAUGGACUACUUAGAAGGUUUUGUUUGUGUCAACAUUCACAGAAGAUGAGAGAAUCCGAAGAAUUGCCAUUUGGCUGCGAUGGCAAAGAGGGGACUCUGUCCAGCCUGGGUCCUGGUUCCUGCUCUGGAUGCGUUGCUGUAGCUCCUGUGGUAAAGGGGGACGGAGGGGUGGUUCUUCUUCCACGUUCUACAGGGAUGAAGACAUGAUGAUGCUGGAGAUCCAGGAUGAGGCCCUGAGGACUCGAACACUGAAAGAGAAGUCCCAGGAGGAAGCGGAAGUGAUCCCUGUUGACCUUUAAUCCGGCGAGGAUGUCCUCCAUCAUCCAUAACUCUCUCUGGGCUUGAGACUGCUCCUGGGUGUAUGCAAGGUAGGGUG